CGUAGGGUGCGAGCGUUGUCCGGAAUUAUUGGGCGUAAAGGGCUCGUAGGCGGUCUGUUGCGUCAGGAGUGAAAACUCGGGGCUUAACCCCGAGCCUGCUUCUGAUACGGGCAGACUAGAGGUAUGCAGGGGAGAACGGAAUUCCUGGUGUAGCGGUGAAAUGCGCAGAUAUCAGGAGGAACACCGGUGGCGAAGGCGGUUCUCUGGGCAUUACCUGACGCUGAGGAGCGAAAGUGUGGGGAGCGAACAGGAUUAGAUACCCUGGUAGUCCACACCGUAAACGUUGGGCGCUAGGUGUGGGACUCAUUCCACGAGUUCCGUGCCGCAGCUAACGCAUUAAGCGCCCCGCCUGGGGAGUACGGCCGCAAGGCUA
rnacentral:rRNA from 1 species